UUUGCGAAAACAACCCCAGACAAAAAGUAUAAAGGAGUCUCAGGCGUGAUGACUGUAUGGAAUCCAGAAAACGUUGGACCUAACCAAUAUAGUUCAGUUGCAAUCUCAGCUGAAGUAGGAGAGGGACCUGACUACACUCGAAUACAAUUUGGGUGGACUGUGUUCCCAUUCCAGUUCCAGGACAGUUUCACUCAUUGGUUUUUUCAAGUAACCAACACAACAAAUGUUCCAGGAUGUUUUGAUCUUAAUUGCCAAGGUUUGUACAAAUAAAUACCCAAGUUCCAAUUGGCGCUGCUAUACAUGAUGUCUCUGACUACGGUACCGACCAUCAAGUGUUUUUGCAUUUCAGCCUCCUCCAGGAUCCAGAGAAAGAAUCACCUUGGUGGCUGUUUUAUAAUGAAGAACCUACACCAAUUGGGUAUUUUUCAAACAAACUGUUCACUAAGUUAAGCGAUGGAGUAGACACAUUGAAAUGGGGAGGCUAUGUUUUCACUCAGCCAGGUGAUGAGACUAGCCCUCAAAUGGGUAGUGGAAAAUUUGAUAAUGGAAUAUAUCAACGAACUACUAACAUGAUUAAUGUACGAUAUAUUGAUAACAAUUAUCAAUUAGUUGAUUCGCCAAAUGAUAUUCAAACUGUGGAGUCUCGUUGUUACUUAGAAGGAGACCAGUCAUACAAAGACGACAAAGUAGGUUAUACCUUUUUUUUUUGGCGGAAAAGGUGGCA